rnacentral:rRNA from 1 species
UACGAAGGGGGCUAGCGUUGUUCGGAUUUACUGGGCGUAAAGCGCGCGUAGGCGGUUUGUUAAGUCAGGGGUGAAAUCCCAGAGCUCAACUCUGGAACUGCCUUUGAUACUGGCAAGCUAGAGUCCGGAAGAGGUAAGUGGAACUCCUAGUGUAGAGGUGGAAUUCGUAGAUAUUAGGAAGAACACCAGUGGCGAAGGCGACAUACUGGUCCGUUACUGACGCUGAGGCUCGAAAGCGUGGGGAGCAAACAGG